rnacentral:rRNA from 1 species
AUUGAACGCUGGCGGCAUGCCUUACACAUGCAAGUCGAACGGUAACAGGUCUCGGAUGCUGACGAGUGGCGAACGGGUGAGUAAUACAUCGGAACGUGCCCGAGAGUGGGGGAUAACGAAGCGAAAGCUUUGCUAAUACCGCAUACGAUCUCAGGAUGAAAGCAGGGGACCGCAAGGCCUUGCGCUCACGGAGCGGCCGAUGGCAGAUUAGGUAGUUGGUGGGAUAAAAGCUUACCAAGCCGACGAUCUGUAGCUGGUCUGAGAGGACGACCAGCCACACUGGGACUGAGACACGGCCCAGACUCCUACGGGAGGCAGCAGUGGGGAAUUUUGGACAAUGGGCGCAAGCCUGAUCCAGCCAUGCCGCGUGCAGGAUGAAGGCCUUCGGGUUGUAAACUGCUUUUGUACGGAACGAAAAGACUCUGGUUAAUACCUGGGGUCCAUGACGGUACCGUAAGAAUAAGCACCGGCUAACUACGUG